rnacentral:rRNA from 1 species
UAGGGAAUCUUCGGCAAUGGGGGCAACCCUGACCGAGCAACGCCGCGUGAGUGAAGAAGGUUUUCGGGUCGUAAAGCUCUGUUGUAAGAGAAGAACGUGUGUGAGAGUGGAAAGUUCACACAGUGACGGUAACUUACCAGAAAGGGACGGCUAACUACGUGCCAG